AAGCUUCGACUAAGGUUCGAUUCGAGCGCAGCGAGAAAGCGUUGCCGUAGGCAACGACCCGAAGGGCGAAGCGCGCAGCGCUGAGUCAUCCUUCCCCCACCACCA
rnacentral:sRNA from 2 species